rnacentral:tRNA from 1 species
GCCGUUGUAGUGUAACGGUAGCACAUUCAGAGCGUAUUCGAGGGGUCUAGGUUCGAGUCCCGGCGAGGGCA